rnacentral:tRNA from 1 species
AAAAGUUAGUUUAAAUAAAACAUUAAUUUGUCAAAUUAAAAAAAUUAAAUUUUUAAUACUUUUUA